AGAGAAAGAGAGAAUCAUUGUUAGAAAGGUGAAGCAUUUAAUAGUCAAAGUAACAUAGAAUUCCAAACAAGAACAAGCUAGUCACUGUUGGUGGCAUUCCUCUGCCUUUCACUUUUGCAAAUGCCUUAUCCCUUACAAUAUUUCCGCUACAGAAUCCCCCAGAGGGCAGUAAAAGAAAGAAGAAAACCCUCUCUCCCUCCCGUUAGAUUUAUUAAGAUCUGGAGUCGCUUUCCUGUCUGACUCUUGUGACGACGUCGAUGAUGACCCAUCACUUACCUUCUGAUCCAAUAAAAAUCAUCUUCUGUUUCUUAUAUUGUGCAAACCCCUUUUCUUGUUUAUUUCUUUUCUUUGUAUUUUUCUUCAAAUUCUCUCAUUUCCUUUUCUUUCUUUCUUUCUUUUGCCUAGUUAAUAGUGUCACAAUUAGGGUUUCACAGCCCUUUUCUGAUUAUAUACAUAUUAUCUUCUAAGUUGAAUAUUGUAUGUAUACUUCUCUCUGUGUAUGUCUCGUUAAUUAAUUUACUUUCUUUAUGUUUACUCCACGAAUAGAUAUUAUUUGCAGAUUAAAAAAAAAUGGUUUUUCUGGAGGACAAAAGCUGCUUUCUGGGAUCUUUGCCAAGAAUUCAAAGAGACACCAGCAAACAUCAACAAGUACGUACGAGUAACUAAAAAAAAUGAAUGUUGGUUAAUAUGUAACAAUGAAAUAAAAACUUACUAUUUCUUUAAGUUCAUUUGAUUCGUUUGAGACGACUCAAUUAUCAAUAAGUUAAAAUUGGUUGAUAUAAUUUGCAUCAUUUCCAAUAUAUGUAUUUGUGCUGGGCAAUGUAUCACUGACAGCAAUAGCUAGCAUAUAUCUCCCUUUUUCCUUUUUUUAGCUGGCUACACAAGGAAAAGUAUUUUCUGAUGCAAUAUAGUUGCAAGGUUGCACCUCGCCAGCUACUUGUUUUUAUUCCUUGUUUAGCUUCUUGUUCUCGAUAACUUAAUUUCCUUUGGCUAUAUAUACAUAUAUAUAGCAUUUGCAUUUGCAUACUUGUAAACUUGAUUUGUCCUCGUUUUCUAUUGCCUUUGUAUGUAUGAAGUACAGUAAUAGCAAGCCAAGAAUGCAGCCUCCUUUCUGUU